AGCGAACGCUGGCGGCAGGCCUAACACAUGCAAGUCGAACGAACUCUUCGGAGUUAGUGGCGGACGGGUGAGUAACACGUGGGAACGUGCCCUUAGGUUCGGAAUAACUCAGGGAAACUUGUGCUAAUACCGAAUGUGCCCUUCGGGGGAAAGAUUUAUCGCCUUUAGAGCGGCCCGCGUCUGAUUAGCUAGUUGGUGAGGUAAAGGCUCACCAAGGCGACGAUCAGUAGCUGGUCUGAGAGGAUGAUCAGCCACAUUGGGACUGAGACACGGCCCAAACUCCUACGGGAGGCAGCAGUGGGGAAUCUUGCGCAAUGGGCGAAAGCCUGACGCAGCCAUGCCGCGUGAAUGAUGAAGGUCUUAGGAUUGUAAAAUUCUUUCACCGGGGACGAUAAUGACGGUACCCGGAGAAGAAGCCCCGGCUAACUUCGG
rnacentral:rRNA from 1 species